rnacentral:miRNA from 2 species
UGCUAGUGAUGGUGAUUCUUCGAC